rnacentral:tRNA from 1 species
GAGGGGUGGCCGAGUGGCUGAAGGCGCCGGUUUGCUAAACCGGUAUACGGGAAACUGUAUCGUGGGUUCGAAUCCCAUCUCCUCC